rnacentral:rRNA from 1 species
UCAGACGAUGCGUCAUGCAUAUCAAUAAGCGGAGGAAAAGAAACUAACAAGGAUUCCCUCAGUAACGGCGAGUGAAGCGGGAAGAGCCCAAAUUUGAAAUCUUGAAAGGUCACCUUUCACGAAUUGUAGUUUAAAGAAGUGUUUUCUGUUACGAUCGUAAUAUAAGUUCUUUGGAAUAGGACAUCACAGAGGGUGAGAAUCCCGUCUAUGAUUGCGAUUUGUAGCUUUGUGAUACACUUUCAAAGAGUCGGGUUGUUUGGGAAUGCAGCCCAAAACGGGAGGUAAAUUUCUUCUAAGGCUAAAUAUUGGCGAGAGACCGAUAGCGAACAAGUACCGUGAGGGAAAGAUGAAAAGAACUUUGAAAAGAGAGUUAAAUAGUACGUGAAAUUGUCAAAAGGGAAGCGUUUAACACCAGUGUUGUUUUCUGAAAAUCAACCUCUGUUAGCUUUAUGCAUGUUUGUUUAGACCUAAUCAGCUAUCUUGCAUGUUCUAUUGUUUGCAGUGGUGCACUUUUCAGUUUACAGGUCAACAUCAGUUUUUUUUACCGUAAAAAAGUUAAAGAAAGGUAGCUCAUGGCUCCGGUCGUGAGUGUUAUAGUCUUUUUCCUAUGCGGUAGGAGAGACUGAGGUCUGCAGUGUAGGCUAUUUGGCUAGAUACUCAGGUGCUAUGUGAUACCAUUUCAUAAACAACUUGUUGAUUAUGUUUUGUCUAUUGCAUACUCGCUUGUACUAUCAUACCUACGCUUAGGAUGUUGAAGACUCUACAGAGAUA